rnacentral:lncRNA from 1 species
GGUUUAUUAGGCUACACAUGCUCUGACUAUUGUAGUCCUUUUUACCCCCGCCCCAUUAUAUUGCAGUGUACCAGCAGAGACCGAAAUCCCUGAAUCGUGGCACGGUGUCCAAGGUUGAUGCGAUUCGGUAAAGGAGGGUGGGAGAAAUCUGGGCGGGGAGUAGCCUAUCAAGCGCAUAAUCUGGCAAACACUCUGAACGGUGUGUGCAUUUUCAUGAUCGGAUUAUCGUUUAGACCUAAAUUUAAUUUCGUUACAAAUUUAAUUUCUCUCUUCCAUUUGGAUUAUUACGUUGUACAUUACGUUGUAUAAUGUAGGCUAUAGCCUUACGUGCGUGCGUCCACUUCCAAUUUUAUUGCUCAAAACAUAUGCCAUAUUAGAGCAAGGCCUUCUCCAUCUAAAUAAGGUGAUCAUCCAGGAGUUAUGAAUAUCUAUUUUGCAAUAUUUGCCUUCAUGGCACCUGUAGUUAUUGUUAUGAUAACGGUAGGGGUAUCAUGUGUAAUUCAUCGAAGGAGGCACAGUCGGAUUGAACGCUCACUUCAAUGAUGGACGCUCUGAAAUACCCCCCCGCAGAAAUACCCCCCUUCAGUGUCUAUCCUCUCCGGGAGCAUCGCUCCGAUUACCAUGGAAGAAACCUUCCUAUCAUGGCGGCUAGAUUCCAGGUGAAGGUAAGAAAUGCGCUGUUCUGGAAAACCAAGCCGGUAACUGACAGACAUCGCAUUGCACAGCAAUUUGCGCUGUAAUAGGCUAUUUGGACAAAUUGCUUGUGAGUACCAGUGGAUUGUGGAGUAUCCUGCCUGCACUCUAAAAAAAAAAUACAUGUUUUUAUGGUGAUUAACUGUCUGCCAGUAAAUUAGGGGAGACCAGGGUUGUUUGUAACAGGAUAGUUGUAACGCUCUCAAUAUCUCCAAUCAGGAUCAAGCUAGAAUUAUGUGACUGGCUGUGCACAUGCUCAGUUUAGUCCUCAACCCUCAUGUGAAGAAGCAAGGACCUGUGAUAGACAGCAGAUUUCAUUGACAAGAAUAUGAUUUUGAGGUAAGAAAUACUUUUUUUAACCAAAAUUGUUUUUGUGAUGGCAUUACCUGCUUUGUAGUUAGAUUCACCAAACUUGUAUCAGGUUUAUAACCAGUGUGUGUAGAUUUAUUUCAUGUAAGAUAACAAUGCAAGGGUCAGGGUUAGUUGUAACAAGCCUUCGGAGGUAUGGGUUCAGUGCUGGGAAUGCAAAUUAUGGGCCUGUCAGGCCAAAUAGUGUCCGCCCCCCGCGUCGCAAUAGGAUUUGUUGUGAUUGUCUAACAAGUUGGAAGACAAGGGUUGCUGAAAUACUAGUCUAAGUAAAUUUGCUCUGUUUUCUUUCUCUCUGUUUCUCCCUCCCUCUCUCUCUCUCUCUCUCUCUCUCUCUGUCUCACUCUCUUCCCACCUCUCUCUCCCUCUCUCUCUCUCUCUCUCUCUGUCUCACUCUCUUCCCACCUCUCUCUCUCCCUCUCUCACUUUCAUCCUUUCUCACUUUCUUCUUCUCUCUCUUUGUAUGUGUCUGUCUGUCUGUCUCUCUCUCUGUCUAGCGAAGAAACCUAGUUAAGGGCAGUUGAAGCUACUAUAAUUGCUCACACCUAUCCAUUUGAUUGAUCAAGGUUAACUUAUAGCUAGAUACCUCAAUAUGACAGACAUACAACUAAAUGUAUACAGUGAGGGGCAAAAAAGUAUUUGAUCCCCUGCUGAUUUUGUCCGUUUGCCCACUGACAAAGAAAUGAUCAGUCUAUAAUUUUAAUGGUAUGUUUAUCUGAACAGUGAGAGACAGAAUAACAAAAAACAAUCCAGAAAAACGCAUGUCAAAAAUGUUAUAAAUUGAUUUGCAUUUUAAUGAGGGAAAUAAGUAUUUGACCCCUCUGCAAAACAUGACUUAGUACUUGGUGGCAAAACCCUUGUUGGCAAUCACAGAGGUCAGACGUUUCUUGUAGUUGGCCACCAGGUUUGCACACAUCUCAGGAGGGAUUUUGUCCCACUCCUCUUUGCAGAUCUUCUCCAAGUCAUUAAGGUUUCGAGGCUGACGUUUGGCAACUCGAACCUUCAGCUCCCUCCACAGAUUUUCUAUGGGAUUAAGAUCUGGAGACUGGCUAGGCCACUCCAGGACCGGGACAGACGUUCCGCUAGCGGAACGCCUCACCAAUAUCCAAUGGUAGAGCGUGGCGCAAAAUACAAAUACCUCAAAAAUGCUAU